AAAAUUAUCAUAUUUUCCCCACUAUACUUACUUGUUUUCCUUUUCUUUAUUCCUUUAAAAUCAGACGUAUUUUGUAAAUGCAAUUAAAUGCUAUAACCGUGUAAAAAAGAAAAUAUACUUACAACCAUCGAAGAUACCUCAUGUCUCUUUCGUAAAAUUUUCGCCUGAAAUAAUCCGAUGAAUCUGGCGAAUAUUGCCACAAAUCACUUUAAAAAUAGUUAUUUAUUUUAUUUUAGAAUUUUAGACUAUUGCGGUUAUCUUUUUAUACCUUAUUCUCUGUAUUUCUUCCUUUAUAUUUUCUGGUAUUCGGUACAUAUCUGGAGGCAGCUCCGAUAGCCAAUCGAUAUAUCUCAUAUCUUGUUCAAACUCCAGCUCCUCACACGUACCAAAAGGUUGCCUGGACCAUUUAGACCUUUAAUACCAUAAAAAUUAAUUCCUCAUGUUUACAGAAAGAAAAUAAUACCAGAUAAUAGUUACAUGAUUUCGCCUAUCAAUUCGCCUGGAGUUAUUCCUAAUGGCAGUUCCCAGUCUUCUCGAUUUUCUUCUAAGUGAAUACAAAAUUUUAUAUCUAACACUAUAUUACUACUUUAAAAAUCUAAAAUAUACCUCCGGACAUCUUAAAGUUUUCCAUUUUCGUUUUGUUCGCAAGUUGGGCUACUAUGGCGUAAUAAAAUAUUACAAGAAAAGUCACGCUAAUAGCCCUUUAUAUACGUUUCUGAACUCCUAAAAUAGUACUUAAUCAAAACAUUACGUAGAAAUACAUUAUUUUUAUCUCAAUGAAAGAAUGUUUUUAAUCUCUAGUAGUUCUUGCAAUUAUUUUCAAUUCGGAAAAUCUAAAUAUAAAAACCGAGAAUACUCUUCGACAACAUCGUUAUAAGUAGACUAGACGUUAAUGUGGAUGAAAUGGUCUUAUAUAAUCCCAAAAAGGUUAGUUUUAUGCAUAUAUUAUUAUUAUUAAAACUAAUUUUAUUUUAUAUGCCACCUAUUGUUUUUCUUCGAAUUUAUUGCGCUACUCUCCGUAAUUGACGAACUAUUGUAUUACUGUAUUAAUAAUUGUAGCAAAUAUGGAACCUUG
rnacentral:lncRNA from 1 species